AUGCUGCAGUAUGUGAUUCAUCAGAUACGCUCUUCUGCAUUUUUCCAAUAUCUAUCUCCUUCAACGUUUCUAGGCGGUAUCAUCAGGCUCCUUAGUGCAUUGCCUCAGGUACAGAAGAAGGACUCAUUAAUGCUUGGCCUCUGCCUGUGCUCUGCAAUGAGAUAUGGCAAAGCUCAGUCCUCAAGCCUUCUUCCUGUGACCAGGUACAAAUGUGUUUGGUUUUUUUGUUUCUUAAAGAGUAGAUAUAUUAGCUCAAUGGAAACUGUAGUCUUAUAUGCCUCCCCCGACCACUGAUAGAUUC
rnacentral:lncRNA from 1 species